CCUACGGGAGGCAGCAGUGAGGAAUAUUGGUCAAUGGACGAGAGUCUGAACCAGCCAAGUAGCGUGAAGGAUGACUGCCCUAUGUGUUUUAAACUUCUUUUAUAAAGGAAUAAAACGAGGCACGUGUGCCUUUUUGCAUGUACUUUAUCAAUAAGGAUCGGCUAACUCCGUGCCAGCAGCCGCGGUAAUACGGAGGAUCCGAGCGUUAUCCGGGUUUAUUGGGUUUAAAGGGAGCGUAGAUGGGUUGUUAAGUCAGUUGUGAAAGUUUGCGGCUCAACCGUAAAAGUGCAAUUGAUACUGGCAGGCUGGAGUACAGUAGAGGUAGGUGGAAUUCGUGGUGUAGCGGUGAAAUGCGUAGAUAUCACGAAGAACCCCGAUUGCGAAGGCAGCUUACUAAACUGUGACUGACAUUGAGGCUCGAAAGUGUGGGUAUCAAACAGGAUUAGAUACCCCAGUAGUC
rnacentral:rRNA from 1 species